rnacentral:rRNA from 1 species
AUUGAACGCUGGCGGCAGGCCUAACACAUGCAAGUCGAACGAGUGGCGGACGGGUGAGUAAUGUCUGGGAAACUGCCUGAUGGAGGGGGAUAACUACUGGAAACGGUAUCUAAUACCGCAUACCAUCGGAUGUGCCCAGAUGGGAUUAGCUAGUAGGUGGGGUAAAGGCUCACCUAGUCGACGAUCCCUAGCUGGUAUGAGAGGAUGACAGGACAAACUGGAAUUGCGAAACGGUCCAGACUCCAACGGGAGGCAGCAGUGGGGAAUAAUGCACAAUGGGCGUAAGCCUGAUGCAGCGAUGCCGCGUGUAUGAAGAAGGCCUUCGGGUUGUAAAGUACUUUCAGCGGGGAGGCGUUACCAGCAGAAGAAGCACCGGCUAACUCCGUGCCAGCAGCCGCGGUAAUUC